rfam:Picea glauca, whole genome shotgun sequence.
CCCCAGCUCAGGCGAGAACACCCGCUGAGUUUAAGCAUAUAAUUAAGCGGAGGAAAAGAAACUUACAAGGAUUCCCCUAGUAACGGCGAGCGAACCGGGAAGAGCCCUACAUGAAAAUCGGGUGGCAGCGUCGCCUGAAUUGUAGUCUGUAGAAGCGUCCUUAGUGGCAGACUGGGCCCAAGUCCCCUGGAAGGGGGUGCCUGAGAGGGUGAUAGCCCCGUCGAGCCUGGACCCUGCCACACCACGAGGCGUUGUCGGUGAGUCAGGUUGUUUGGGAAUGCAACCCUAAUCGGGUGGUAAAUUCCGUCCAAGGAUAAAUACGGGUGAGAUACCGAUAGCGAACAAGUACCACGAGGGAAAGAUGAAAAGGAAUUUGAAAAGAGAGUUAAAGAGUGCUUGAAAUUGCUGGGAGGGAAGCGGAUGGAGGCUGGCGAUGCGUCUCGGUUGGAUGCGGAACAGCUCAAGCUGGUCCGUCGCUCGACUCCAGGUGUGAACCAGCACAGGCCGUUGCAUCGGCACAAGCGUGGGUGGAGUACUGCCUGUUGGUUUUUCAUUGUGGCGGUCGAGGAACGAAGCGUGCACCCUUGGGGCAGGCCACUGUGCACUUGCACGCUUGUGGUGUUGGUUGGAUGGCUUUCCAUUCGACCCAUCUUGAAACACAGACCAAGGAGUCUAACAUGUGUGCGAGUCGGUGGGUUUGUAAACCUGCGAGGCGUAAGGAAGCUGACGGGCGAGAACCCCUCUCCAUGGGGUGCAUUGUCGACUGAACUUGAGCUUGUGCAAAGGGUUUGAGUGCGAGCACACCUGUUGGGACCCGAAAGAUGGUGAACUAUGCCUGAGCAGGGCAAAGCCAGAGGAAACUCUGGUGGAGGCCCAUAGCGAUACUGACAUGCAAAUCGUUCGUCUGACUUGGGUAUAGGGGCAAAAGACUAAUCGAACCAUCUAAUAGCUGGUUUCCUUCGAAGUUUCCCUCAGGAUAGCUGGAGCUCACGUGCGAGUUUUAUCACGUAAAGCAAAUGAUUAGAGGCAUCGGGGGUGUAACGCCCUCAACCUAUUCUCAAACUUUAAAUAGGUAAGACGAUGCAGCUGCUCCAUUGAGUCGUGCCACGGAAUCGAGAGCUCCAAGUGGGCCAUUUUUGGUAAGCAGAACUAGCGAUGCGGGAUGAACCGAAAGUCGAGUUAUGGUGCCAAAUUGCGCACUAAUCCAGAUCCCACAAAGGGUGUUGGUUGAUUAAGACAGCAGGACGGUGGUCAUGGAAGUCGAAAUCCGCUAAGGAGUGUGUAGCAACUCACCUACCGAAUCAACUAGCCCCGAAAAUGGAUGGCACUGAAGCACGUGACCUAUACUCGACCGUCGGAGCAAUUGCCAGGCUUCGAUGAGUAGGAGGACGUGGGGGUCGUUGAGAAACCUUGGGCGUGAGCCUGGGUGGACCGGUCCCCGGUGCAGAUCUUGGUGGUAGUAGCAAAUAUUCAAAUGAGAACUUUGAA